CCAYAUARUAACUACUUUCGGUUGGGGCGACCUUGGAAAAAAAAAGAACUUCCAAAUAAAAUGAAUAUACCUCAUAUCUAAACAGGCCAACAAGCCAAAAAUGACCCAGCACAGCUGAUAAUUGAACCAAGUUACUCCAGGGAUAACAGCGCAAUCUUCUUCAAGAGCCCAUAUCAAAAAGAAGGUUUACGACCUCGAUGUUGGAUCAGGACAUCCUAAUGGUGCAGCCGCUAUUAAGGGUUCGUUUGUUCAACGAUUAAUA
rnacentral:rRNA from 1 species